rnacentral:rRNA from 1 species
UACGUAGGGUGCGAGCGUUGUCCGGAAUUACUGGGCGUAAAGAGCUCGUAGGUGGUUUGUCGCGUUGUUCGUGAAAACCUGAGGCUUAACCUUGGGCGUGCGGGCGAUACGGGCAGACUGGAGUACUGCAGGGGAGACUGGAAUUCCUGGUGUAGCGGUGGAAUGCGCAGAUAUCAGGAGGAACACCGAUGGCGAAGGCAGGUCUCUGGGCAUUAACUGACGCUGAGGAGCGAAAGCAUGGGGAGCGAACAGG